UACGUAGGCAGCAAGCGUUGUUCGGAAUUACUGGGCGUAAAGAGUGUGUAGGCGGUGCUCCAAGUCUGGUGUGAAAUCUCCCGGCUUAACUGGGAGGGUGCAUUAGAAACUGGAAUGCUAGAGGAUGGGAGAGGUAAGCGGAAUUCCUGGUGUAGCGGUGAAAUGCGUAGAUAUCAGGAGGAACACCAAUGGCGAAGGCAGCUCGCUGGGACGGUACUGACACUGAGACGCGAAAGCGUGGGGAGCAAACAGG
rnacentral:rRNA from 1 species